rnacentral:rRNA from 1 species
GACGAACGCUGGCGGCGUGCCUAAUACAUGCAAGUAGGACGCAGUUGCGAACGGGAGAGUAACGCGUAGGUAACUACCUAUUAGAGGGGGAUAACUAUUGGAAACGAUAGCUCAUACCGCAUACUCACAGAUGGACCUGCGUUGUAUUAGAUAGUAGGUAGGGUAAUGGCCUACCUAGGCAACGAUACAUAGCAUACCUGGAAGGGUGGUCGGCCACACUGGGACUUCGACACGGCCCAGACUCCUACGGGAGGCAGCAGUAGGGAAUUUGCGGCAAUGGGGGGAACCCUGACCGAGCAACGCCGCGUGAGUGAAGAAAGUUUUCGGAUCGUAAAGCUCUGUUGUUAAGGAAGCGGUACUUAACCAGAAAGGGACGGCUAACUACGUGCCAGCCGCCGCGGUAAUAC